UGAACAGCGUCAGAAAGAAUGGGAGUGGGUUAUUGGAUACACACGGAGAUAAAUUUGUAGUCAAAUGAGUCCAAACAAAUACAAACAUCAGGAGCUUUGACCAACUGGCAUAAAUUUUGGCUAACAUACGACAUCGAUAGCGUCCCCUCCCGAUACACUAUUCUCUCAAUCUUGCGCAGAGCUGCCAGCAAAACAAAAACAAACCCUCGAGAAAAUAAGGAGUGAGCCAUCUUAACCAUGGCCUCCAUAUCUCCCGAACAGCUAAAGGUACUCGAACAAACCCGCCAACGCCUAGUCCAAUUAACUCAAUCGCUCGCAUCGCUCAUCAACAACAUAAACCAAAGCGACCCCCUCCCAUCCUGGUCUUCCCUCCAAUCCCAGGCUACCAUCAUCUCCAACAAUCUCCUCAAUGUCUCUCAACAACUUACAGACCACCAUGACCUCCUCUCAUCGCUAGUCGCGUACCCAACCCCUCAAUUCCCCGGCCGCACCGAAGCCGCCAUGCUCUCGCAACUGCUGCGCACCAAACUGGAGCCGCGUGUCGAGGAUUGGGUCUCCCAGGGCCUGUCUAUGGGCAACCCGGAUGCCACUAGACUUAGAACGGGCUUGACAGAACAGCAGCUGUUAGAGCUGUGGCGAUGGGGCCCUAUCGAAGCGAAC
rnacentral:sRNA from 1 species